CGGAUAACAAACAAGCACGUGAAAAGGUACUCAGCAUCCUUAGUCAUGAAACCAUCAGAAGGCUCCAUGACACACCUCUCACGAUGGCUGAAAUGAAAAAAGAUUGACCUUACCAGCUGAUGACAAGGAUGCAGAGCAAAUAGAACUCUCAUGCACUGCUGGUGAGAAUGUAAAAGGGUACAACCACUUUGGAAAAUAAUUCAGCACUUUGUUGAAAAGUUAAACAGUACUACCCUAUGAUCAAGCCAUUGCAUUCCUAGAUAUUUACCCAGGAGAAAUGGAAGUUCCUCUUGGUAGGAACACGAUGUCCAUCAACAGGUAACUGAAAAAAACAAACUGUGGUAUAUGCAUACAGCACUAUGUCACUCAACAAUCAA
rnacentral:lncRNA from 1 species